CCCUUGAUCAUUUUCAGUUGGUAGAGCACGAGACUCUUAAUCUCAGGGUUGUGGGUUCGAUCCCCACACUGGGCA
rnacentral:tRNA from 1 species